rnacentral:rRNA from 1 species
UAGAGUUUGAUCCUGGCUCAGGAUGAACGCUGGCGGCGUGCCUAAUACAUGCAAGUCGAACGCACAGCGAAAGGUGCUUGCACCUUUCAAGUGAGUGGCGAACGGGUGAGUAACACGUGGAUAACCUACCUCAAGGUUGGGGAUAACAUUUGGAAACAGAUGCUAAUACCGAAUAAAACUUAGUAUCGCAUGAUACCAGGUUAAAAGGCGCUACGGCGUCACCUAGAGAUGGAUCCGCGGUGCAUUAGUUAGUUGGUGGGGUAAAGGCUUACCAAGACAAUGAUGCAUAGCCGAGUUGAGAGACUGAUCGGCCACAUUGGGACUGAGACACGGCCCAAACUCCUACGGGAGGCUGCAGUAGGGAAUCUUCCACAAUGGGCGAAAGCCUGAUGGAGCAACGCCGCGUGUGUGAUGAAGGCUUUCGGGUCGUAAAGCACUGUUGUAUGGGAAGAACAGCUAGAGUAGGGAAUGACUUUAGUUUGACGGUACCAUACCAGAAAGGGACGGCUAAAUACGUGCCAGCAGCCGCGGUAAUACGUAUGUCCCGAGCGUUAUCCGGAUUUAUUGGGCGUAAAGCGAGCGCAGACGGUUAAUUAAGUCUGAUGUGAAAGCCCGGAGCUCAACUCCGGAAAGGCAUUGGAAACUGGUUAACUUGAGUGCAGUAGAGGUAAGUGGAACUCCAUGUGUAGCGGUGGAAUGCGUAGAUAUAUGGAAGAACACCAGCGGCGAAGGCGGCUUACUGGACUGUAACUGACGUUGAGGCUCGAAAGUGUGGGUAGCAAACAGGAUUAGAUACCCUGGUAGUCCACACCGUAAACGAUGAACACUAGGUGUUAGGAGGUUUCCGCCUCUUAGUGCCGAAGCUAACGCAUUAAGU